CCUACGGGAGGCAGCAGUAGGGAAUCUUCCACAAUGGGCGAAAGCCUGAUGGAGCAACGCCGCGUGGGUGAAGAAGGUCUUCUGAUCGUAAAACCCUGUUUUUAGAGAAGAAAGUGCGUGCGAGUAACUGUUCACGUUUCGACGGUAUCUAACCAGAACGCCACGGCUAACUACGUGCCAGCAGCCGCGGUAGUACGUAGGUGGCAAGCGUUAUCCGGAUUUAUUGGGCGUAAAGGGAACGCAGUCGGUCUGUUAAGUCUGAUGGGAAAGCUUUCGGCUUAACCGGAGUAGUGCAUUGGAUACAGGGAGACUUGAGUACAGAAGAGGAGAGUGGAAUUCCAUGUGUAGCGGUGAAAUGCGUAGAUAUAUGGAAGAACACCAGUGGCGAAAGCAGCUCUCUGAUCUGUAACUGACGCUGAGGUUCGAAAGCGUGGGUAGCAAACAGGAUUAGAUACCCCAGUAGUC
rnacentral:rRNA from 1 species